rnacentral:lncRNA from 1 species
GGUAACCAUGAGUUCAAUCAAACAAUUCAGAUAGCAACUUUAGUUCACUGUAUCUAACAUUUUUGUUGCCCUAAUCUGCAUGACAGACCAUGCUGAUGUGUGUCGAAUUAGAUACAACACCUGCUACCACGACACAAUCUUCUACUCUGAUAACAGAGGAUGAAUCUAGCUGCAAACAUUACAAAAUACAUGUAAGCUUGGUGAAUUUAAAGAGUUUUCUUCUUGUUCUAUGUAUGAAUUGCAUUCAUAUACGUGAAUGCUUAUUAGUUACCUCCUGGUUCCAAGCUUAUGUGCAGAUCCAUGAUGCCUCUCAAUCGUACGCAAUGUCCAAGACAUUGUGAUACUGCAACAUCUAUGG